rnacentral:rRNA from 2 species
AUGCAAGUCGAACGCGUUGGCCCAAUUGAUUGAUGGUGCUUGCACCUGAUUGAUUUUGGUCGCCAACGAGUGGCGGACGGGUGAGUAACACGUAGGUAACCUGCCCAGAAGCGGGGGACAACAUUUGGAAACAGAUGCUAAUACCGCAUAACAGCGUUGUUCGCAUGAACAACGCUUAAAAGAUGGCUUCUCGCUAUCACUUCUGGAUGGACCUGCGGUGCAUUAGCUUGUUGGUGGGGUAACGGCCUACCAAGGCGAUGAUGCAUAGCCGAGUUGAGAGACUGAUCGGCCACAAUGGGACUGAGACACGGCCCAUACUCCUACGGGAGGCAGCAGUAGGGAAUCUUCCACAAUGGGCGCAAGCCUGAUGGAGCAACACCGCGUGAGUGAAGAAGGGUUUCGGCUCGUAAAGCUCUGUUGUUAAAGAAGAACACGUAUGAGAGUAACUGUUCAUACGUUGACGGUAUUUAACCAGAAAGUCACGGCUAACUACGUGCCAC